AACAUGACUUUGAUCUGCGUCCUCAUCUGGACUCUCCUCUGCUGCUGCUUCACAGAGUCCAGAGGCCAGUACACAGUGACUCAGCCUGGAUCAGUGACCUCUGGUCUGGGAGGAACCGUCACCAUCAGAUGUAAAACCAGUCAGAAUGUUUAUGUUAGCAGUAACUACCACCGUUUAGCCUGGUACCAACAGAGAGAUGGAGAUGGAGGAGUUCCUAAACUAUUUAUUUAUAAUGCUAACAGUAGAGUAUCAGGGAUUCCUGGUCGUUUUUCAGGCAGUGGAUCAAACUCUGACUUCACUCUGACCAUCAGUGGAGUCCAGACUGAAGAUGCAGCAGUUUAUUACUGUCAGAGUCUACACUAUCCCAACAGUCAGUGGGUGUUCACACAGUGA